AAAUAAGCCAAGAGUUGAAAGAGGCAGGACUAAUUACCAACAUUCCUUGAUGAAUUACUUAGCGGCGUGUGCUAAGUCAAUGUACGUCUACGGCUUGAUCCCCAAUUUUAUCCCGUACUUAUUUCCCAGGAGGUAAAAAGAACAUGUGGCUAAUUAAGGCACCGAUCUCCACAGCCAGAAGUACUCAAGGUCAACGGUUCAAAACCUUAGCACCUGGAACAGAAGAAAAGGAACAUUUGAGAAAAUAUUCACUCUUGAGAAAGUCAUGCUUCGAGGGGUGUUGUGGAUUGAAACAGGAGAGUGCAUCACCAUCAUCUUCAUCUACAACAUCAGUUUCUUUCUUCUUCCAAGCAGGAGUCAAGGUAUUAUAAUAUUUUAAAGCAACAUGCAAUUCAGCUGUAGAAGUGGCCUCCAUGGACCACCUUGGCUAAGCUCACAGCCGCUGAGAUGAACCCACCCUUCCCUUGAUUCCAUCUCAUUAGGAGAUCCCAGGACAUCAGCAGUUCCAUGGACCAUCUAAAUCCAUUCUGGUCCAAGGAGGAGCCAGAAGAAGGGACUGAGAUAAAGAAGACAGGGAUAUUCUGCCAUCUAGAUUUUAUAGUCUAUUCAUAUAAAUUAAAUGUUUGUAUUCCAAAGAGUGAGCAGAAGGUAGAGAGACACUGUUUCUUGCAGACAACGAUGCCAUUGUGGAAGGUGGUAUGGAAGUCACUGGUGUGCAAAACCUCCAAUUUGUAUAAGAUGUGGUAAGGAUCCAGGGCAGUGGUUUCAACCUGUGGGAAGCAAACUUCUGAGAGGUCUGCUAUUUAAUAAAU
rnacentral:lncRNA from 1 species